AAAAAGCAGGAAGUCAUAAGAAUAUUAAUCAUUCAGUCAUAGUGUAUAAAUUGCACUCACGCUAUCGGGAAUGAACUUAAACACACAGCUGCUUCCCAAAGAUUAGGACAGUUUCCAGGGUAUGUAUAUCAACAAUUCAAUGCUGUCUUAGUACAAAGAGCAGAGUUAAACUGUUAUUUUCCAAAAAAUGUGAUAACUGAAUUUGACAGUGCGUAUCAAUAUAAUGUAGGGGCGUACGAUUCAGAAAAUGUCACAAUCUGAUUCAGAAUUUUAGGCUCACGAUUUGAUUCAAUGUCGAUUUUCAAUCCAAAAAUGAUUCUCGAUUAAAAAA